GAUAGAAUGUGAAUUGCAGAAUUCAGUGAAUCAUCGAAUCUUUGAACGCACCUUGCGCUCCUUGGUAUUCCGAGGAGCAUGCCUGUUUGAGUGUCAUGUUAUCUCUCAGUUCUAUCUCGUUAUUAACGAGCAUGAAUUGGAUUUGGAGACCUGCUGGCWCUUGUAGUUCGGCUUCUCUUAAAUGCAGUAGUGUGGAUAUUUGCCGCAUGUUUUCCGGUGUGAUAAUUAUCUGCGCCGCAUGAACAAAAGCAAUAUAUAUGUCUAUGCUUCCAACCGUCCACUCCGUGGACAAGCUUAAUCUGACAUUUGACCUCAAAUCAGGUAGGACUACCCGCUGAACUUAAGCAUAUCAAUAAGCGGAGGAAAAGAAACUAACAAGGAUUCCCCUAGUAACUGCGAGUGAAGCGGGAAAAGCUCAAAUUUAAAAUCUGGCGGUCUUUGGCUGUCCGAGUUGUAGUCUGGAGAAGCAUUUUCCGUGCUGGACCGUGUACAAGUCUCCUUGGAAUAGGGCGUCAUAGAGGGUGAGAAUCCCGUCUUUGACACGGACUGCCAGUGCUAUGUGAUGUGCUCUCAACGAGUCGAGUUGUUUGGGAAUGCAGCUCAAAAUGGGUGGUAAAUUCCAUCUAAAGCUAAAUAUUGGCGAGAGACCGAUAGCGAACAAGUACCGUGAGGGAAAGAUGAAAAGCACUUUGGAAAGAGAGUUAAACAGUACGUGAAAUUGCUGAAAGGGAAACGCUUGAAGUCAGUCGCGUCUAUCAGAAUUCAACUCGGUCUUGACCUUGUGUAUUUUCUGGUUGACGGGCCAGCAUCAAUUUCGAUCAUUGGAAAAAGGUCUUGGGAAUGUGGCAUCUUCUGAUGUGUUAUAGCCCUUGAUUGUAUACGAUGGUUGGGAUUGAGGUUCUCAGCACGCAUGUGCUUUAGGAUGCUGGCGUAAUGGCUUUAAACGACCNGUCUUGAAACACGGACCAAGGAGUCUAACAUGCCUGCGAGUGUUUGGGUGGAAAACCCGAGCGCGUAAUGAAAGUGAAAGUUGGGAUCCCUGUCGUGGGGAGCACCGACGCCCGGACCAGACCUUUUGUGACGGAUCCGCGGUAGAGCAUGUAUGUUGGGACCCGAAAGAUGGUGAACUAUGCCUGAAUAGGGUGAAGCCAGAGGAAACUCUGGUGGAGGCUCGUAGCGAUUCUGACGUGCAAAUCGAUCGUCAAAUUUGGGUAUAGGGGCGAAAGACUAAUCGAACCAUCUAGUAGCUG
rnacentral:rRNA from 1 species